rnacentral:rRNA from 1 species
CCUACGGGUGGCAGCAGUGAGGAAUAUUGGUCAAUGGCCGAAAGGCUGAACCAGCCAAGUAGCGUGAGGGAAGACUGCCCUAGGGGUGGUAAACCUCUUUGAUGCGGGGAAAAGGGUGUCCAAGUGAGGAUGUAUGCAGGUACGGCAUGAAUAAGGACAGGCUAAUUCAGUGCCAGCAGCCGCGGUAAUACGGAAGGUACGGGCGUUAUCCGGAUUUAUUGGGUUUAAAGGGAGCGUAGGCCGGUCUUUAAGAGUGCCGUGAAAUUUUGUGGCUCAACCAUGAGAGUGCGGCGGGAACUGGAGAACUUGAGUGCGCGGAAGGCAGGCGGAAUUCGUGGUGUAGCGGUGAAAUGCUUAGAUAUCACGAAGAACCCCGAUUGCGAAAGCAGCCUGCCGCACCGUUACUGACGCUGAAGCUCGAAAGCGCGGGUAUCGAACAGGAUUAGAUACCCUUGUAGUC